CGGCGAGUGAAGCGGCAACAGCUCAAAUUUGAAAUCUGGCCUCUUGGGGUCCGAGUUGUAAUUUGUAGAGGAUGUUUCGGGUACCGCCUCGGUUUAAAUUUCUUGGAACAGAAUGUCAAAGAGGGUGAGAAUCCCGUCUUGGACCGGCGGUAGGGCCUAUGUGAAACUCCUUCGACGAGUCGAGUUGUUUGGGAAUGCAGCUCAAAAUGGGUGGUAAAUUUCAUCUAAAGCUAAAUAUUGGCCAGAGACCGAUAGCGCACAAGUAGAGUGAUCGAAAGAUGAAAAGCACUUUGAAAAGAGAGUUAAACAGUAUGUGAAAUUGUUGAAAGGGAAGCGCUUGCAACCAGACUUGAGCGCGGCGGUUCCCCCUUGCUUCUGCUUGGGUUACUCCGCCGUGUCCAGGCCAACAUCGGUUCUGGGGGUCGGUCAAAGGCUCUGGGAAUGUAUCUACCCACGGGUAGACUUAUAGACCAGGGUGUCAUGCGACCUCCCGGGACCGAGGAACGCGCUUCGGCUCGGAUGUUGGCGUAAUGGUUGUCAGCGACCCGUCUUGAAACACGGACCA
rnacentral:rRNA from 1 species